GUUAAGUUAGAAAGGGCGCACGGUGAAUGCCUUGGCACUAGGAGCCGAUGAAGGACGGGACUAACACCGAUAUGCUUCGGGGAGCUGUAAGUGAGCUUUGAUCCGGAGAUUUCCGAAUGGGGAAACCCACUGUUCGUAAUGGAACAGUAUCUUUAUCUGAAUACAUAGGAUAUUGAAGGCAGACCCGGGGAACUGAAACAUCUAAGUACCCGGAGGAAGAGAAAGCAAAUGCGAUUUCCUGAGUAGCGGCGAGCGAAACGGAAUUAGCCCAAACCAAGAGGCUUGCCUCUUGGGGUUGUAGGACACUCUAUACGGAGUUACAAAGGAACGAAGUAAAUGAAGCGACCUGGAAAGGUCCGUCGAAGAAGGUAACAACCCUGUAGUUGAAACUUCGUUCCCUCUUGAGUGGAUCCUGAGUACGGCGGAACACGUGAAAUUCCGUCGGAAGCUGGGAGGACCAUCUCCCAAGGCUAAAUACUACCUAGUGACCGAUAGUGAACCAGUACCGUGAGGGAAAGGUGAAAAGCACCCCGGAAGGGGAGUGAAAGAGAUCCUGAAACCGUGUGCCUACAAGUAGUCAGAGCCCGUUAAUGGGUGAUGGCGUGCCUUUUGUAGAAUGAACCGGCGAGUUACGAUCCCAUGCAAGGUUAAGCUGAUAAGGCGGAGCCGUAGCGAAAGCGAGUCUGAAUAGGGCGUUUAGUAUGUGGUUGUAGACCCGAAACCAGGUGAUCUACCCAUGUCCAGGGUGAAGUUCAGGUAACACUGAAUGGAGGCCCGAACCCACGCACGUUGAAAAGUGCGGGGAUGAGGUGUGGGUAGCGGAGAAAUUCCAAUCGAACCUGGAGAUAGCUGGUUCUCUCCGAAAUAGCUUUAGGGCUAGCCUCAUGUUGUGAGAGUCUUGGAGGUAGAGCACUGAUUGGACUAGGGGCCCCCAACGGGUUACCGAAUUCAGUCAAACUCCGAAUGCCAAAGACUUAUCCAUGGGAGUCAGACUGCGAGUGAUAAGAUCCGUAGUCAAAAGGGAAACAGCCCAGACCACCAGCUAAGGUCCCCAAGUAUACGUUAAGUGGAAAAGGAUGUGGAGUUGCUUAGACAACCAGGAUGUUGGCUUAGAAGCAGCCACCAUUUAAAGAGUGCGUAAUAGCUCACUGGUCGAGUGACUCUGCGCCGAAAAUGUACCGGGGCUAAACGUAUCACCGAAGCUGUGGAUUGACAUCUUUGAUGUCAGUGGUAGGAGAGCGUUCUAAGUGCAGCGAAGUCAGACCGUAAGGACUGGUGGAGCGCUUAGAAGUGAGAAUGCCGGUAUGAGUAGCGAAAGACAAGUGAGAAUCUUGUCCACCGAAUGCCUAAGGUUUCCUGAGGAAGGCUCGUCCGCUCAGGGUUAGUCGGGACCUAAGCCGAGGCUGAAAAGCGUAGGCGAUGGCCAACAGGUUGAUAUUCCUGUACCACCUCCCCGCCGUUUGAGUAAUGGGGGGACGCAGUAGGAUAGGGUAAGCGCGCUGCUGGAUAUGCGCGUUCAAGCAGUUAGGCUGAUGAGUAGGCAAAUCCGCUCAUCAUAAAGGCUGAGCUGUGAUGACGAGGGAAUUAUAGUACCGAAGUUCCUGAUUCCACACUGCCAAGAAAAGCCUCUAGCGAGGCGGGAGGUGCCCGUACCGCAAACCGACACAGGUAGGCGAGGAGAGAAUCCUAAGGUGAUCGAGAGAACUCUCGUUAAGGAACUCGGCAAAAUGACCCCGUAACUUCGGGAGAAGGGGUGCUCUGGUAGGGUGUAUAGCCCGAGAGAGCCGCAGUGAAUAGGCCCAGGCGACUGUUUAGCAAAAACACAGGUCUCUGCGAAGCCGCAAGGCGAAGUAUAGGGGCUGACGCCUGCCCGGUGCUGGAAGGUUAAGAGGAGGGGUUAUCCUUUGGGAGAAGCUCUGAAUCGAAGCCCCAGUAAACGGCGGCCGUAACUAUAACGGUCCUAAGGUAGCGAAAUUCCUUGUCGGGUAAGUUCCGACCCGCACGAAAGGCGUAACGAUCUGGGCACUGUCUCAACGAGAGACUCGGUGAAAUUAUAGUACCUGUGAAGAUGCAGGUUACCCGCGACAGGACGGAAAGACCCCGUGGAGCUUUACUGUAGCCUGAUAUUGAAUUUUGGUACAGCUUGUACAGGAUAGGUAGGAGCCUGAGAAGCCGGAGCGCUAGCUUCGGUGGAGGCGUCGGUGGGAUACUACCCUGGCUGUAUUGAAAUUCUAACCCGCGGCCCUGAUCGGGCCGGGAGACAGUGUCAGGUGGGCAGUUUGACUGGGGCGGUCGCCUCCUAAAAUGUAACGGAGGCGCCCAAAGGUUCCCUCAGAAUGGUUGGAAAUCAUUCGUAGAGUGUAAAGGCACAAGGGAGCUUGACUGCGAGACCUACAAGUCGAGCAGGGACGAAAGUCGGGCUUAGUGAUCCGGUGGUUCCGCAUGGAAGGGCCAUCGCUCAACGGAUAAAAGCUACCCCGGGGAUAACAGGCUUAUCUCCCCCAAGAGUCCACAUCGACGGGGAGGUUUGGCACCUCGAUGUCGGCUCAUCGCAUCCUGGGGCUGUAGUCGGUCCCAAGGGUUGGGCUGUUCGCCCAUUAAAGCGGUACGCGAGCUGGGUUCAGAACGUCGUGAGACAGUUCGGUCCCUAUCCGUCGUGGGCGUAGGAAAUUUGAGAGGAGCUGUCCUUAGUACGAGAGGACCGGGAUGGACACACCGCUGGUGUACCAGUUGUCUUGCCAAAGGCAUCGCUGGGUAGCUAUGUGUGGACGGGAUAAGUGCUGAAAGCAUCUAAGCAUGAAGCCCCCCUCAAGAUGAGAUUUCCCAUAGCGCAAGCUAGUAAGAUCCCUGAAAGAUGAUCAGGUUGAUAGGUCAGAGGUGGAAGCGUGGCGACAUGUGUAGCUGACUGAUACUAAUCGAUCGAGGACUUAACC
rnacentral:rRNA from 2 species